rnacentral:rRNA from 1 species
UGUUCCUACGGGGGGCAGCAGUGAGGAAUAUUGGUCAAUGGCCGAGAGGCUGAACCAGCCAAGUAGCGUGCAGGAUGACGGCCCUCGUGGUUGUAAACUGCUUUUAGUCGGGAAUAAAAGGGGGUUCGUGAAUCCCGUAUUGUAUGUACCGUCAGAAAAAGGACCGGCUAAUUCCGUGCCAGCAGCCGCGGUAAUACGGAGGAUCCGAGCGUUAUCCGGAUUUAUUGGGUUUAAAGGGAGCGUAGAUGGGUUGUUAAGUCAGUUGUGAAAGUUUGCGGCUCAACCGUAAAAUUGCAAUUGAUACU